ACACAUGCAAGUCGAACGGCAGCACCGGGAGCAAUCCUGGUGGCGAGUGGCGAACGGGUGAGUAAUACAUCGGAACGUGCCCAAUCGUGGGGGAUAACUGCUCGAAAGAGCAGCUAAUACCGCAUAUUAUCUACGGAUGAAAGCAGGGGAUCGCAAGACCUUGCGCGAUUGGAGCGGCUGAUGGCAGAUUAGGUAGUUGGUGGGAUAAAAGCCUACCAAGCCUGCGAUCUGUAGCUGGUCUGAGAGGACGACCAGCCACACUGGGACUGAGACACGGCCCAGACUCCUACGGGAGGCAGCAGUGGGGAAUUUUGGACAAUGGGCGAAAGCCUGAUCCAGCAAUGCCGCGUGCAGGAUGAAGGCCUUCGGGUUGUAAACUGCUUUUGUACGGAACGAAAAGGCGCUCUCUAAUACAGGGUGUUGAUGACGGUACCGUAAGAAUAAGCACC
rnacentral:rRNA from 1 species